rnacentral:lncRNA from 1 species
UUCUGCCUUACCUCCUAGGUAUUGGCUUGGCUGAGGUUUUUGCUCAUGCCUUCUGAGAUAGGCCAAGAUCCUUUAGUACUUCCCUUCUCCAGCUUGCUUGUCUACCUGCAUGCUAGGCAGCUUUGGCUUCCUCUUUCCACCCCUACAUCAGACAAAACCAGAAGCCAACCAUGCUGCCUCCAUGAAGCUCUCCAGGGAGGCGCUCUGGAGAGCUUCUGAGCUCUCAGACUGCUGUGGGACCUCACCUUUGUUCAGGACAUUCGUCCUGUGUAGCCGACCUUUGGCCAGGUCCUCUGCUGCUGUGGAGGAGCAGGACAGUGUAGUAUAGCCGAAGCUGGUCUCUAAGUCUUUAUGUUGCUGGGGAUGACUUAGAACUCCUAAUCUUCCUUCUUUUAC